rnacentral:rRNA from 1 species
GACGGAGGGGGCUAGCGUUGUUCGGAAUCACUGGGCGUAAAGCGCGCGUAGGUGGAUGUGCAAGUCAGAGGUGAAAUCCCGGGGCUUAACCCCGGAACUGCCUUUGAAACUGCACAUCUGGAGUGUCGGAGGGGAUAGUGGAAUUCCUAGUGUAGAGGUGAAAUUCGUAGAGACUAGGAGGAACACCAGUGGCGAAGGCGACUAUCUGGACGACAACUGACACUGAGGUGCGAAAGCGUGGGGAGCAAACAGG